rnacentral:rRNA from 1 species
CCCUUUGGGGUGUGACUGCGUACCUUUUGUAUAAUGGGUCAGCGACUUAUAUUCUGUAGCAAGGUUAACCGUAUAGGGGAGCCGUAGGGAAACCGAGUCUUAACCGGGCGUUAAGUUGCAGGGUAUAGACCCGAAACCCGGUGAUCUAGCCAUGGGCAGGUUGAAGGUUGGGUAACACUAACUGGAGGACCGAACCGACUAAUGUUGAAAAAUUAGCGGAUGACCUGUGGCUGGGGGUGAAAGGCCAAUCAAACCGGGAGAUAGCUGGUUCUCCCCGAAAGCUAUUUAGGUAGCGCCUCGUGAAUUCAUCUCCGGGGGUAGAGCACUGUUUCGGCUAGGGGGCCAUCCCGGCUUACCAACCCGAUGCAAACUGCGAAUACCGGAGAAUGUUAUCACGGGAGACACACGGCGGGUGCUAACGUCCGUCGUGAAGAGGGAAACAACCCAGACCGCCAGCUAAGGUCCCAAAGUCAUGGUUAAGUGGGAAACGAUGUGGGAAGGCCCAGACAGCCAGGAUGUUGGCUUAGAAGCAGCCAUCAUUUAAAGAAAGCGUAAUAGCUCACUGGUCGAGUCGGCCUGCGCGGAAGAUGUAACGGGGCUAAACCAUG